GAUGAACGCUGGCGGCGUGCCUAAUACAUGCAAGUCGAGCGAAUGGAUUAAGAGCUUGCUCUUAUGAAGUUAGCGGCGGACGGGUGAGUAACACGUGGGUAACCUGCCCAUAAGACUGGGAUAACUCCGGGAAACCGGGGCUAAUACCGGAUAACAUUUUGAACCGCAUGGUUCGAAAUUGAAAGGCGGCUUCGGCUGUCACUUAUGGAUGGACCCGCGUCGCAUUAGCUAGUUGGUGAGGUAACGGCUCACCAAGGCAACGAUGCGUAGCCGACCGGAGAGGGUGAUCGGCCACACUGGGAAUGAGACACGGAACAGACUCCUACGGGAGGCAGCAGUAGGGAAUCUUCCGCAAUGGACGAAAGUCUGACGGAGCAACGCCGCGUGAGUGAUGAAGGCUUUCGGGUCGUAAAACUCUGUUGUUAGGGAAGAACAAGUGCUAGUUGAAUAAGCUGGCACCUUGACGGUACCUAACCAGAAAGCCACGGCUAACUACGUGCCAGCCGCCGCAGUAA
rnacentral:rRNA from 1 species